AUUGAACGCUGGCGGCAGGCCUAACACAUGCAAGUCGAGCGGAUGAAGGGAGCUUGCUCCUGGAUUCAGCGGCGGACGGGUGGGUAAUGCCUAGGAAUCUGCCUGGUAGUGGGGGAUAACGUCCGGAAACGGGCGCUAAUACCGCAUACGUCCUGAGGGAGAAAGUGGGGGAUCUUCGGACCUCACGCUAUCAGAUGAGCCUAGGUCGGAUUAGCUAGUUGGUGGGGUAAAGGCCUACCAAGGCGACGAUCCGUAACUGGUCUGAGAGGAUGAUCAGUCACACUGGAACUGAGACACGGUCCAGACUCCUACGGGAGGCAGCAGUGGGGAAUAUUGGACAAUGGGCGAAAGCCUGAUCCAGCCAUGCCGCGUGUGUGAAGAAGGUCUUCGGAUUUAAAGCACUUUAAGUUGGGAGGAAGGGCAGUAAGUUAAUACCUUGCUGUUUUGACGUUACCAACAGAAUAAGCACCGGCUAACUUCGUG
rnacentral:rRNA from 1 species